rfam:Paenibacillus wynnii strain DSM 18334 unitig_2, whole genome shotgun sequence.
UUAACUUGAAUAUGCUUACCGUAGACAGUAGGUGCCCUAAGGCUUAAUUUCCUACCGAGGUGUUGUGAUAGAAACAAGAUGCUACUGGGUUCGCCCGUGCAACUAACGUUUAUCAAGCCUUCGUGAUUCUGCGGAGGCUUUUCUAAUGCCUGC